GACGAACGCUGGCGGCGUGCUUAACACAUGCAAGUCGAACGGAAAGGCCCUGCUUUUGUGGGGUGCUCGAGUGGCGAACGGGUGAGUAACACGUGAGUAACCUGCCCUUGACUUUGGGAUAACUUCAGGAAACUGGGGCUAAUACCGGAUAGGAGCUCCUGCUGCAUGGUGGGGGUUGGAAAGUUUCGGCGGUUGGGGAUGGACUCGCGGCUUAUCAGCGUGUUGGUGGGGUAGUGGCUUACCAAGGCUUUGACGGGUAGCCGGCCUGAGAGGGUGACCGGCCACGUUGGGACUGAGCUACGGCCCAGACUCCUCCGGGAGGCAGCAGUGGGGAAUAUUGCACAAUGGGCGGAAGCCUGAUGCAGCAACGCCGCGUGCGGGAUGACGGCCUUCGGGUUGUAUACCGCUUUCGCCUGUGACGAAGCGUGAGUGACGGUAAUGGGUAAAGAAGCACCGGCUAACUACGUG
rnacentral:rRNA from 1 species